rnacentral:rRNA from 1 species
UCCUACGGGAGGCAGCAGUGGGGAAUAUUGCACAAUGGGCGCAAGCCUGAUGCAGCCAUGCCGCAUGUGUGAAGAAGGCCUUCGGGUUGUAAAGCACUUUCAGCGGGGAGGAAGGGUCACUAGUUAAUACCUAGUGGCAUUGACGUUACUCGCAGAAGAAGCACCGGCUAACUCCGUGCCAGCAGCCGCGGUAAUA